rnacentral:tRNA from 1 species
AAAAUUUUAGUAUAUGUUAAUAUGUCCUGUUGUCAACAGGGAGAUGUAUAAUUUUG